rnacentral:rRNA from 1 species
AUACGGAGGGGGCUAGCGUUGUUCGGAAUUACUGGGCGUAAAGCGUACGCAGGCGGAUAUUUAAGUUAGAGGUGAAAUCCCAGGGCUCAACCCUGGAACUGCCUUUAAAACUGGGUAUCUAGAGUUAUAGAGAGGUAAGUGGAAUUCCUAGUGUAGAGGUGAAAUUCGUAGAUAUUAGGAGGAACACCAGAGGCGAAGGCGGCUUACUGGACAUAUACUGACGCUGAGGUACGAAAGUGUGGGGAGCGAACGGGAUUAGAAACCCUAGUAGUCC